rnacentral:rRNA from 1 species
AUGCUCUGGACAUCAGCCCUUGCAGAUUUGGCUCUGACUCAUCCCAUCAGGCUUGGGCUUGCGCUCAACUUUUCUGGGUUCUACUAUGAGACCUCGAACUCCCCUGACCAAGCCUGCAACCUUGCAAAACAGAUCUACCUUCUUGGCUCGGGGGUGUCACGGGCUACGCACGCCUCCCCCCUUGAUGGCGGUGUCAAAUUAGUACAAACACGUGGGGAGUGA